GCUAGGCACAGUGGCGUGUGCCUGUAAUCCCAGGAGGCUGAGGCAGGAGGAUCACUUGAGACCGGGAGUUCAAAGUUGCAGUGAGCUAUGAUCAUGCCACUGUAUUCCAGCCUGGGCAACAGAGCAAGACCCUGUCUCAU
ensembl:misc_RNA Metazoa_SRP Metazoan signal recognition particle RNA